AUUGAACGCUGGCGGCAGGCCUAACACAUGCAAGUCGAGCGGUAGCACAGAGAGCUUGCUCUCGGGUGACGAGCGGCGGACGGGUGAGUAAUGUCUGGGAAACUGCCUGAUGGAGGGGGAUAACUACUGGAAACGGUAGCUAAUACCGCAUAACGUCGCAAGACCAAAGUGGGGGACCUUCGGGCCUCAUGCCAUCAGAUGUGCCCAGAUGGGAUUAGCUGGUAGGUGGGGUAACGGCUCACCUAGGCGACGAUCCCUAGCUGGUCUGAGAGGAUGACAAGCCACACUGGAACUGUGACACGGUCCAGAAUCCUACGGGAGGCAGCGGUGGGGAAUAUUGCACAAUGGGCGCAAGCCUGAUGCAGCCAUGCCGCGUGUGGGAAGAAGGCCUUCGGGUUGUAAAGCACUUUCAGCGGGGAGGAAGGCAUUAAGGUUAAUAACCUUAGUGAUUGACGUUACCCGCAGAAGAAGCACCGGCUAACUCCGUGCCAGCAGCCGCCGUAAAAC
rnacentral:rRNA from 1 species